rnacentral:rRNA from 1 species
ACUGACAGCCAUGGUUACCGCGGCUGCUGGCACGGAGUUAGCCGGUGCUUCUUCUGCGAGUAACGUCACAGAUGUAAGGUAUUAACUUACACCCUUUCCUCCUCGCUGAAAGUGCUUUACAACCCGAAGGCCUUCUUCACACACGCGGCAUGGCUGCAUCAGGGUUUCCCCCAUUGUGCAAUAUUCCCCACUGCUGCCUCCCGUAGGAGUCUGGGCCGUGUCUCAGUCCCAGUGUGGCUGAUCAUCCUCUCAGACCAGCUAGGGAUCGUCGCCUAGGUGAGCCUUUACCUCACCUACUAGCUAAUCCCACCUGGGCUUAUCCAUCAGCGCAAGGCCCGAAGGUCCCCUGCUUUCCCCCGUAGGGCGUAUGCGGUAUUAGCAGUCGUUUCCAACUGUUAUCCCCCACAAAUGGGCAAAUUCCCAGGCAUUACUCACCCGUCCGCCGCUCGUCAUCUUCAAAAAGCAAGCUUUUGAAAAUGUUACCGCUCGACUUGCAUGUGUUAGGCCUGCCGCCAGCGUUCAAU